GCGGCAAUAGCUCAGUGGUAGAGCCCUCGCUUCGCGUGCGGGGGGACCCGAGUUCGAUUCCCGGCUGCA
rnacentral:tRNA from 1 species